UAGGGAAUCUUCCACAAUGGGCGCAAGCCUGAUGGAGCAACGCCGCGUGAGUGAAGAAGGUCUUCGGAUCGUAAAACUCUGUUGUUAGAGAGGAACAUGCAGGAGAGUAACUGUUCUUGUAUUGACGGUAUCUAACCAGGAAGCCACGGCUAACUACGCGCCAG
rnacentral:rRNA from 1 species